CCGGGGUUAAAAACGAGAGGUCCAGAAGAGCAUGGGAGCCCGGGGCUGGCGGCAGGGCCCUGGGAGACCCUCCCGGGGCUGGCGGAUGGGCGCUCAGCGGCUCUGCGGGCGCAGGACGCUCCCUCUGGAAGCCUCUCCCUUGGAAAGGCAAGCGGGCAUUUCGGACAGCACAGCACCGCCCAAACGUCGAUGAGAACGUGCUGACAGGAGUAGGAAGAGUAUUAAUAAACAUUGCUGUUGUUGGAAAUGGUUUUUCAUUUUCUGAAAAAAACCCACCCUGUUUCCUAAAAGUCUUCAAAGUCGGCAUUCACUUAUCCCCUUUCUGAACAGCGUGCCCCAGCUUGAAUCCCUGUCUCAAGUAUGCAGUGUCUUGACCUCUCCUGCUUUCUCCUAGGUUCUGGGAUCAGCACUGUCUCACAGGAUUAGAAAAAAAAAUGGAGAACAAUAAGAUGGAGAAAGCACCUCGAUAUUUUUUUUGAAAAGGGCCAGGGAGUUCCAGAACAGCUUCCCGGCGUGGUCCUUGUUUUCCUUGCACCCUGCGGUGACAAAGUGACUGUAGACCUGAGAGUGAGAUAAAGUCAUCAGAACGGGGUCACUUUCAUCUUAAAUACAUGAUCUUGUGUUUUGACUGAUUACCAGAAAGGUGCUACUUCAAGAUCUUUAAGAUCCUCAUGACAAAGUUGACUUUUUAAGAACUAGGCUUUUUUUUUUUUUUUUUUUUUUUCCCAUUGUAUCGUAUAAAGAGCAGUUCUUCCGAGGUGUCAUUUCCCCUGCAGUUUGUUUCUGGAUUUCUUACUACCCUUCCUCGUGGCCUAAGAUGUAUGUUGGGGUUUGUCAUAAUGUAUAUUGUACUCCAUGUAAGUUUUGCCCAUCAAUCUCUGUUAUCUUAGACAUUAAUUUAACAGUGGGAUGUUUAAAAAAUUACUUCUCAUCAGUUCUAGUUCCUUCAAUUAACUGCAAGGUUUAAUGAAUUUCACUCAUGUUCCUAUGGAAUAUUGUUGGAAAGCUUGUGAAAAGAGCUGAAAAAAAGCAAAAUAGGCAAUAUUGUGUAGAGUGGAGCUCACCAGAAUUUACUAGCUGUGUCAGGUGAGAAAUCACUGUUGCUUAAUUUAAAUGUGAAGAAUAUAACCCUCCUCUUUGGUUUCCAAACAAUGCUUUGUUGGAGUAUACAGGUACAGAGGGGGGGGUUUGAAGCAAAUUUUGUAAGGCUCAGGUUCAUAAUGUAUUCCAAUACACAAUGCUUCAUCUUAUCUGUUUUUAUUUUUUACCAUUAUUUUCCACUUUAGGAAGCAAUAGGAGGAGAGCUUUAGAGCUGUACUUGAACACAGAUGGUAUGAUGGCACAGCAUUUGCUGCAACUUGUUUCAAGUUAUGUUACAGAGUUCAUUUUUAACAUAAGCUAAAACCCCUUAUUUUGUAGAAAAGUCUCAUUGAAAUGGCAACCACCCAAAUAUAGAGCAUACGUUUUCAGAGGUACAUGAAUAUUUUCUGGUAACGUGAUGAAAAAUUAACUGAUACAGGAAAAAUGGUAAUCCUUAAAAGUGCAUGAAGAACCCAGACUGGAGCCUGCAUUAGAUGAAGCACAAGUGUGUAUUGCUUUUUGAUAUUUCCAGGAAAUAUAGGGGAACCCCGUGUGAAGUAGGCUGCAGUACUGUAGGCAGCAUUAAUAGUUCCGUGGAAGGAAAACAUCAGCCUUUCCAUUCUGUCCUUUCCAUUAUUUUUGGUUUUGGAGUGAACGGAACAUCUCCCACAACAACCCUAAUUGCCACUAACCACAGUUUUUGUUUGUUGACAGCCCCAUGCGUCAACAGACGCUGCACUCUUUCCCCUUUAAGUGGGCUAUUUUUGCCAAACACCAUUUCCACUCCUCUGGAUUUCAUGAACGCUGCCAUUUGAAACAGAUCCAAGGAAUUAGACAUUACUCACCUUUGCACAUGCUAUCUCUUAAACAGAUACUAGCCUGCUGUCUUCUAUUCUUACAUUUCCUGCACUUUUCCCCCAUUGUGGAAUGUUCUAUUUUGUCUUGCUUAUUGCAGUUUUGACCAGGGAACUCGGUCUCUUAAAAACCAAGGCUUUAGGCAGCUUUCCUGUUCUUCAGAUGUAUUUUCUCUGUUGCUCUCCUCACAGCUUUUUGUUCGAUGACUUGCACUUUCACUAUCUCAGACUGUCAGGCGGCAGCCAGCAGCAAAAACUCAUUUGUAGAGUUAGAAACAUUUGCAUAUGAAAGUACAUAUAUGCGUGUUUAUUUACACUCAUUCUUACUUUACUUUCUUACAUGAGAAAACUCCAGAUAUCUUUUAUUUCCCUUCUAAAACAGCUUUUAGUUUUUCUUCCCUACCAUCCUUUCUCCACAAUUAUGCUUAAUUAUUCUUUCUUGUGCUUACAUGUAAUUAAUUAAAAGCAGACAAGUACAAGGUAGGGUUAUCCCCAUACUAGAAGAGGAUGGCAGGAUUUUUGGGGGUCCCCCUCACACAGACCAGGAAUGAUAACUCAGGAAAUCCUUAGGAAUAGCUCUUGGAAGUGGGUGAAUGCUAUCAGGGCUGGGAGACUCCGUGGUGGUGACUCUUGGUGCUAACCAGGCUGCUGCUGGAAUAUGGAGAUGUUCUGAAUUACUGUUGGUUGGUCUUUGUGUUGUUUUGGGGUUUUUUUUCCUGGGAACAGGAAAAUGAGGAAAGGCAGCCUAGCAAAGGGCAUUUCCCCAGAGACCAGGAGAUGAUUCUGCAAAUUUACGGCCUGCAGAGGGAAGAAAAGAGGAGCUGGUAACUCUGUUGUGUGCUCUCCUACUGUUAAGAGCUACAUUUCCAAAAACUGCUUGCUUAAAAUCCUGACUGUAGUGAUUUUGUUACAUACCUUUCUGUGCUGAUUCUCAGGCUGCAUGAUCAUGUGCAUAUGGGUGUAUUUUUAUGCAGCCUUUGUGUGUUUCUGUAGGGUUUUGAAUUUCAUUCUUCCCACUUAGCAAAAGUAAGAUCCUUUGAUUAUCACAACCUUUCUGGAAUAAAACAUUUAUUGAUGUUUUUAGGAAUAUAUCAUACAUAUUUUUAUUUCUUUCCUUGGCCACUACCUGUGAUUUGCAAGCCAAACUUCAAGCUUUGCACAAGGGAAUGAGAUCUUUUGUUCAUCUCCUUUGUAGUCUGAUUGUGCUUCUGUAACAACAGAUGCCCUUUGUCCUGAGGACACUCUUGUAGGUUGAGGCACCUGAAGACUUUAGGGAAGGAUGCAUGCAUUUAGAGUAUUGUUUUCUUUUUUGGUCCCUCCCCCAUCCCCAGUGUUCUGAAAUGAGUCAGAUUCUGACUCUCUGUCUGGUGUCAGUGAUAAAACAUGAAUUGUGGAUAAUGCUACUAUUUUCCAUCACUGAGUGGAAAGUAGUUGGAGCUGCUGGAUCUCACAAGGCCUUUCUCUCUGCCUCAUCAAACAUCCUGUAAUCUCCUCAUCUGUCUGUAGUCUGUUUUUUUU